GAUGAACGCUAGCGGCAGGCUUAAUACAUGCAAGUCGUGGGGCAGCAGGUUUGUAGCAAUACAGAUGCUGGCGACCGGCAAACGGGUGCGGAACACGUACAGAACCUUCCUUUGAGCGGGGAAUAGCCCAGAGAAAUUUGGAUUAAUACCCCAUAGUAUAAUGAAGUGGCAUCACUUAUUAUUAAAGAUUAUCACUCGAAGAUGGCUGUGCGGCUGAUUAGGUAGUUGGCGGGGUAAAGGCCACCAAGCCUGCGAUCAGUAACUGGUGUGAGAGCACGACCAGUCACACGGCACUGAGACACGGGCCGACUCCUACGGGAGGCAGCAGUAAGG
rnacentral:rRNA from 1 species